ensembl:snRNA LOC120097310 U6 spliceosomal RNA
GUGCUCGCUUCGCCAGCAACAUAUAUAAAAUUGGAACGAUACAGAGAAGAUUAGCAUGGCCCCUGCGCAAGGAUGAAUGACCGAAUGAACAAGAGGAGCAAACAUGG